AACGAACGCUGGCGGCAUGCCUAACACAUGCAAGUCGAACGAACCCUUCGGGGUUAGUGGCGCACGGGUGCGUAACGCGUGGGAAUCUGCCCUUUGCUUCGGAAUCACUCAGGGAAACUUGUGCUAAUACCGGAUGAUGUCUUCGGACCAAAGAUUUAUCGGCAAGGGAUGAGCCCGCGUAGGAUUAGGUAGCUGGUGGGGUAAAGGCCUACCAAGCCGACGAUCCUUAGCUGGUCUGAGAGGAUGAUCAGCCACACUGGGACUGAGACACGGCCCAGACUCCUACGGGAGGCAGCAGUGGGGAAUAUUGGACAAUGGGCGCAAGCCUGAUCCAGCAAUGCCGCGUGAGUGAUGAAGGCCCUCGGGUCGUAAAGCUCUUUUACCAGGGAUGAUAAUGACAGUACCUGGAGAAUAAGCUCCGGCUAACUCCGUG
rnacentral:rRNA from 1 species